GAACGCUAGCGACAGGCUUAACACAUGCAAGUCGAGGGGCAGCGGGGGUAGCGAUACCCGCCGGCGACCGGCGCACGGGUGAGUAACGCGUAUGCAACUUGCCUAUCAGAGGGGGAUAACCCGGCGAAAGUCGGACUAAUACCGCAUGAAGCAGGGAUCCCGCAUGGGAAUAUUUGCUAAAGAUUCAUCGCUGAUAGAUAGGCAUGCGUUCCAUUAGGCAGUUGGCGGGGUAACGGCCCACCAAACCGACGAUGGAUAGGGGUUCUGAGAGGAAGGUCCCCCACAUUGGUACUGAGACACGGACCAAACUCCUACGGGAGGCAGCAGUGAGGAAUAUUGGUCAAUGGGCGCGAGCCUGAACCAGCCAAGUCGCGUGAGGGAUGAAGGUUCUAUGGAUCGUAAACCUCUUUUAUAAGGGAAUAAAGUGCGGGACGUGUCCCGUUUUGUAUGUACCUUAUGAAUAAGGAUCGGCUAACUCCGUGCCAGCAGCCGCGGUAAUACGGAGGAUCCGAGCGUUAUCCGGAUUUAUUGGGUUUAAAGGGUGCGUAGGCGGCCUUUUAAGUCAGCGGUGAAAGUCUGUGGCUCAACCAUAGAAUUGCCGUUGAAACUGGGAGGCUUGAGUAUGUUUGAGGCAGGCGGAAUGCGUGGUGUAGCGGUGAAAUGCUUAGAUAUCACGCAGAACCCCGAUUGCGAAGGCAGCCUGCCAAGCCAUGACUGACGCUGAUGCACGAAAGCGUGGGGAUCAAACAGGAUUAGAUACCCUGGUAGUCCACGCAGUAAACGAUGAUCACUAGCUGUUUGCGAUACAUUGUAAGCGGCACGGCGAAAGCGUUAAGUGAUCCACCUGGGGAGUACGCCGGCAACGGUGAAACUCAAAGGAAUUGACGGGGGCCCGCACAAGCGGAGGAACAUGUGGUUUAAUUCGAUGAUACGCGAGGAACCUUACCCGGGUUUGAACGCAUUCGGACCGAGGUGGAAACACCUUUUCUAGCAAUAGCCGUUUGCGAGGUGCUGCAUGGUUGUCGUCAGCUCGUGCCGUGAGGUGUCGGCUUAAGUGCCAUAACGAGCGCAACCCUUGCCACUAGUUACUAACAGGUAAAGCUGAGGACUCUGGUGGGACUGCCAGCGUAAGCUGCGAGGAAGGCGGGGAUGACGUCAAAUCAGCACGGCCCUUACAUCCGGGGCGACACACGUGUUACAAUGGCGUGGACAAAGGGAAGCCACCUGGCGACAGGGAGCGAAUCCCCAAACCACGUCUCAGUUCGGAUCGGAGUCUGUAACCCGACUCCGUGAAGCUGGAUUCGCUAGUAAUCGCGCAUCAGCCAUGGCGCGGUGAAUACGUUCCCGGGCCUUGUACACACCGCCCGUCAAGCCAUGGGAGCCGGGGGUACCUGAAGUCCGUAACCGCGAGGAUCGGCCUAGGGUAAAACUGGUGACUGGGGCUAAGUC
rnacentral:rRNA from 1 species